rnacentral:pre_miRNA from 1 species
UUAGUACUCCCUCCGUUCGGAAUUACUUGUCUCGGAAAUGGAUGUAUCUAGAACUAAAAUACGUCUAGAUACACCCAUUUCUGUGACAAGUAAUUCCGAACGGAGGGAGUACAUU